GCUGAAGAUGGCAGAAUAGUGCAUUAGAUUUAAGCUCUAAAUAUAAAAUAAUAUUUUUCUCAGUA
rnacentral:tRNA from 1 species